rnacentral:rRNA from 1 species
UGGGGAAUAUUGGACAAUGGGCGAAAGCCUGAUCCAGCAAUGCCGCGUGUGUGAAGAAGGCCCUCGGGUUGUAAAGCACUUUUAUCAGGAACGAAAUACCACGGGUUAAUAACCUAUGGGGCUGACGGUACCUGAGGAAUAAGCACCGGCUAACUUCGUGCCAGCAGCCGCGGUAAUACGAAGGGUGCAAGCGUUAAUCGGAAUUACUGGGCGUAAAGGGUGCGUAGGCGGUUGUUUAAGUCUGUCGUGAAAUCCCCGGGCUCAACCUGGGAAUGGCGAUGGAUACUGGGCAGCUAGAGUGUGUCAGAGGAUGGUGGAAUUCCCGGUGUAGCGGUGAAAUGCGUAGAGAUCGGGAGGAACAUCAGUGGCGAAGGCGGCCAUCUGGGACAACACUGACGCCGAAGCACGAAAGCGUGGGGAGCAAAC